GACGUAGGGCGCGAGCGUUGUCCGGAUUUAUUGGGCGUAAAGGGCGCGUAGGCGGCCACCGCAAGUCGACUGUGAAAUCUCCGGGCUUAACCCGGAAAGGUCAGCCGAUACUGCGGGGCUAGAGUGCGGAAGGGGCAACUGGAAUUCUCGGUGUAGCGGUGAAAUGCGUAGAUAUCGAGAGGAACACCUGCGGCGAAGGCGGGUUGCUGGGCUGACACUGACGCUGAUGCGCGAAAGCUAGGGGAGCGAACGGG
rnacentral:rRNA from 1 species